AACGCGAAGAACCUUACCAGGUCUUGACAUCCUCUGACAAUCCUAGAGAUAGGACUUUCCCCUUCGGGGGACAGAGUGACAGGUGGUGCAUGGUUGUCGUCAGCUCGUGUCGUGAGAUGUUGGGUUAAGUCCCGCAACGAGCGCAACCCUUGUCCUUAGUUGCCAGCAUUCAGUUGGGCACUCUAAGGAGACUGCCGGUGACAAACCGGAGGAAGGUGGGGAUGACGUCAAAUCAUCAUGCCCCUUAUGACCUGGGCUACACACGUGCUACAAUGGAUGGUACAAAGGGCUGCAAGACCGCGAGGUUUAGCCAAUCCCAUAAAACCAUUCUCAGUUCGGAUUGUAGGCUGCAACUCGCCUACAUGAAGCCGGAAUCGCUAGUAAUCGUGGAUCAGCAUGCCACGGUGAAUACGUUCCCGGGCCUUGUA
rnacentral:rRNA from 1 species